rnacentral:rRNA from 1 species
AGUGAACGCUGGCGGUAGGCCUAACACAUGCAAGUCGAACGGCAGCACAGUAAGAGCUUGCUCUUACGGGUGGCGAGUGGCGGACGGGUGAGGAAUACAUCGGAAUCUACUUUUUCGUGGGGGAUAACGUAGGGAAACUUACGCUAAUACCGCAUACGACCUACGGGUGAAAGCAGGGGAUCUUCGGACCUUUCGCGAUUGAAUGAGCCGAUGUCGGAUUAGCUAGUUGGGGGGGUAAAGGCCCACCAAGGCGACGAUCCGUAGCUGGCCUGAGAGGAUGAUCGGCCACACUGGAACUGAGACACGGUCCAGACUCCUACGGGAGGCAGCAGUGGGGAAUAUUGGACAAUGGGCGCAAGCCUGAUCCAGCCAUACCGCGUGGGUGAAGAAGGCCUUCGGGUUGUAAAGCCCUUUUGUUGGGAAAGAAAAGCAGCAGGUUAAUACCCCGCUGUUCUGACGGUACCCAAAGAAUAAGCACCGGCUAACUUCGUG